AUUGAAAACGCAUACUUCACCAUGCUAAAAUAGGAGUCGCAAACAAAUAAGAUUCAAUAAGAUGUGAUGGUAAGCUAGAUAAACUAACGUAUCAGUUUUAUAUACUACUUAGUCAAUUGCUUCUUUUACAUUAAUUACAUACACCAACGUGUUACUAAGUAAGAUUAGGCAUGAGUUAAAUUAAGCUGUGAUGGUUACCAACACAGUCUAUU
rnacentral:sRNA from 1 species